rnacentral:lncRNA from 1 species
CUGUAGCAGCCUGGAAGCUUCCCUCAUCCAAGCUCGCUCAGUUGCAUCAUACAAAUUUUCAUUUGAAGCUUCUGGAUUUAGAAAAUAGCCUUUUAACCUUUUGAAUAUUCCUGAGCAGAACACCCCACGUAAUUACAAGCCUACAGCCAGCUGUGUUCAGAGAAGUGGAGUGGCUGGCAGCAAAUUUUAACAGGAGCUUACUAGAACAGCAGUAUUUAAUGAGACUUAAAAAUAUCAGUGGAAUGGAAGCUGGUAGGAAUAUGAAGGUAAAUCCUGGUAAGUUGAUGAAAUGUGUUCAUUAUACAUUUUACAAGUUGUGAAUUUUUCUCAUUUCUUGGUUUGAGGUAGUAUUUUCUUUCUCCUAAAGGAAUUAAAUGACAGAAAAUCAAUAGCAUUCAAAUCCACUUAGAGGUUUAUUUCUGACUUGUCUUGGUGUAACUGCAGCUUAAGGAUUGUUUUCUGACCUGUAAUAAGAUUGAGGUUACAGUGUUUUCUACUACAUUUCUAAUGAUCAUACACUUCUUAGUGCAGAAUGUCUGCAGUCACGGCCAGCCCUUCAUGGAGGGAUAGGCAACCAUCACUUUCUGUAGUUAGUGGAUUGGUUUGCAUUUAUCAGGGGGAAAGGAGAGAGAUUUGUGUUGUUUGUUCUUGAUAGGCUAGGUCCUGAUAAUUAUCAGCUGGUGAGUGCUGAGUAUCUGAUAAAAGCCCACGAAGAGGAGGAGGUUGCAUGCUGUUCUGGUUGGCUUUUGCACAGUGAUGGGGGGAUGUAGUGUCCGGCUGUGCUGCAGGCAGUCAAAACACACAUCACAGUUCAGUGGAAGUCCUGGCGAUCUUCAGUUUCACAGGCUUCCAGAAAGAGUUAAAGGUCCCCAACCUUGGGAGCUGAAUUGCAGUGUAGAUGGAAGAAGCCAGCUGCAGCAGUCUUACUGGCCUUUGGUAAAGGAAGCAGCUUGUUCAAGUCCAACCAUUUUGUUUGUUUGCAUGUUCUGCAACUGCACAGCUUGGGCAAUACCAUCAGUUUAAAGGCAAUAUAUACUGUCUGCUCAUUAAAACUUGAGAAUUGGAAAGGCUUCCAAAUGGAUUUGCUUCUCAGAAGUAUCAGAAAAAUGCAGGGAAUUCAACGAUUUAAGGAAGAACACCUACAUCUUGUUAUUGUCAGCUAUGUCAUUACAGCUUACUGAAGUCCUUUAGAAAUGAAGUGGCUAAACAACCACUAGCUGAUCAUUCUGUUGGUAUAUGUCAGGCUUACAACUAUGUCAUGAACAUGCAAUGAUUUAAGAAAAAUGACAAGUGCAUAGGUACUUUGUUGAUAAAAGGUUUUUGUUUUUUUGUGUUUUUUUUUGUGGUUUUUUUUUUUUAAUAAAAAACA